UGAUAAAGUGUGUAGAAACUGAAAAUUUACAAACUAUUUAAAACCUGGAAUCGCUGACUGUUCAGAAACUACACAGAAAGGGAUUAUGGAUGAAUCUGCUCUGUUCUAGCUGCUCCCCAUGCCACCUGUCUCCGAGGAAAGCCUGACAUUGAUUAGAUACUGAGCCAGACUAAUGCUGGCAGCAGAUCCAGUGAUGGUAACCUGCCGAUCAGUAGAUCCUUCCACUGGGUUUGGAGUUUUGAUCUGCGCCCCAGACCUCUGACGGAUCUCAUUGAUUUUGGCUCCCUGACGCCCAAUUAUGCAGCCAAUCAAACCGUUUGGAAUGGUCCUGAAGUCCUUAUGCCUGUAUUCAAUACAUAACUGAAAGAUUUGAUGAUGAAAGAUAUUUCCAUAAAAACAGAGCCUCAGGAAUCAGUGCGAUUUGAAGAUGUGGCUGUGUACUUCACAGAGCAGGAACUGGCCAGCUUCACACUUGAUCAGAAGGCCCUGUACAAGGAGGUGGUGCUUGAGAACGUUGCACAUGUGGCUUUUCUGGGGUACAUUGCAAAACUGAGGAAGUAUGCUCAACUGGCUGGAACAGAAACAUCCAGGGUGAAGGCAUUCCUCUAAGUCAGGUGUACCAGGAAGGCAGAGCUGUGUCAUUGCUGUCAAGUGCAGACUUUUCUGUAGUCACGCAUAUUUCUGUAGACAUAGUGCUUUUUAGUUCAUUAAAGUUGUUCAUUAUCAUGGGC
ensembl:lncRNA Krbox1 KRAB box domain containing 1